CUACUUGAGCAAUACCAUAUGUUGAAAAAUGAAAAAGACAACCUGACAAAGCUCUCCAGAUCACUAUACCACGUUUCCAGCACAGGCAACUUUGAUUGUAUAACUGGUCAUGACCUGUUCAUACUAAAUUAUGACGUGCUUGAGCAGCAAAUGAAAAAGGGAUCGUUCCAUCUGGGUAACAAGAUCUUGGAAGGUGGAAACUGCAGCAUCCCAUUCUCAUGGAAUUGCACAAGCACUGUAACUCUCCCUAAGGGCAAAAAUAACACAUCUACAAUGUAAAGGGACAACCAC